rnacentral:lncRNA from 1 species
CGCUCUCGCAGCAGAGUCCUCCAACACGCCUACGCGGUCGUCAAGCAAGACGGACUCUCUCGCCAGAGUCUGCGGCUCCUUGCUCUUGCCACGCUUGGUCGCCCUGGGCUCAGGCACAACGUCAACGACGGCAACUUCUGCCAAAGACAUGGUUCCUCCUCGAACUGGCUCUGAUACCAACUAUCACGGCCUUAGCAUUUCUGUUCGCAAAGCCCGUGCGGCGCCCGCCUUCUUGCUCGAAGAUAGGCAAGCCUUCAUCCCUAUUGCUAGUUCGGACCUUCGCGUCCUACGACUAAGUAUGCAAAGGGAAUGACAGAGAGAAAGAGAGGCAGAGGUUCACUCAAAAAACUAAAUACUCCACCACUUAGAAAAAGAGAAUUACAACCUACAAACACAAUUUCUCGUGUCCUUUGGCCUAAGCCAAACCUCACUAUAGAUAGGCUCCUGGAUACAUUGAAUUUAGCCAUCCACUAAUUCUCUCAUUAUAACACAUUAACUCACCCUCAUAAUGAGCCAUAAGUCCAAGAGUCAUCCCAUAACUCAUGGGAGUUUCAUAACCCUUGAGUUUCCCAUAGCGGGUUGAGUUUGGGUCUCUUUAACGAUCCGCUCCACUAGCGAAAUUAGGCCACUGUCAAGGAGAAGUCAGCGAAAAAUAUUUCGCCUGUGACAUUAGGCUCCAAAAUUGCUCCUAAUUGCGUCUCUUUUUUUUUAUUUUCUAGUGAGAUUACGUAAAUCAUGUCUUGCUC